GCAACUCCCCUCCCCUCCCAGCUGUGCCCCGCCCAGAUCCCCAGAGGAGCCUGGGCCUGCUGUCCUAGGGGAUAAGAAGGGCUCUGCGUGGAGGACGUUGGUCCUGCUGAGGCUUCCAGAGGUUGGCAAUUUUCUGUAGUUUGGAUACUCUACAAAGUUCCCCAGGAUGAAGCCCAGGAGUGGGAGCUGAGCUCACCGUGGGCUCUGAGCCAGAGAGAGGAGACACUAGGAGAAGGACCCCCACCGAAGGCUGCAGAAAGGUUCCAGGCCUCCAUGUUGAUGGCAGAAGUGGCGAGGCAGCUCACCCUCCGCCCUGCUGAUUUCUGUGCACAUUUGGGAUGA
rnacentral:lncRNA from 1 species